AUUUCCAUUUUUUCUGAAUCCGAAAUCGCCUCCCAAUCUCCACUCCGUCCUUUGCCCUACCGUUGCCGGUCGAAGCUCAUGGUUCUCCAAGUUAUUGGUGUCGUGAUUCUUCCUCCCCGAUGCUUUUCUCAUGAAAUCAAAGGGAUUAAUUUAUUCAACGACGAGGUGGAAGAGGUUCACUUAUAAUUGUUCGAAGAUCGAAUAUUAGAUUGCUCUCUGAAGGUAAUUGUUUUAUACAAGAGAAGAGCGGUAAAAUACUUUCUUAGAUAGUGAGGUUGGUGGCGGCACUAUCCAUCAGAUUAAGGAGGGGUGUUAACAUGUUAAUCUAUUGGGUCUUCUUGAGCCUCUUUAAUGGGCUUUCUCUUUUGAGUAUAAGGCUUGUUGAAGCCUAUAAUAUAUAUACAUUAUAUAUAGGUAUAUAUAUAUAUAAACUACUUCUUCCUACUGUUGCCCUAGCCACCAUUCACACAAAGAUUUAAGAAUCUCUCUUCAUAUUUUUCUCUACCGGGUUGCACCAUCCUUUUCGCUAAUUAAUACAUAAUAGUUAUGGGUCUACUAACGCACUAUUCUACAAGUUAAGAUGUUGGUGGUUUGGGAUAAGAUUGUUAUGUCAAUUGUUGUUUUACCAGCAUUUCUCGCCACUGAACUUUGGAGCUAAACGGCAAUUACAGAGCUGCAACUUAAUACUUUGUAUUUGUUACAUCUUUUACAUAUUUUGGCAUAACCUAUAAAAGAGGAAAGUAAA